ACGCUCGACACCUACGGGAAGCAGCAGUGGGGAAUAUUGCACAAUGGGGGAAACCCUGAUGCAGCGACGCCGCGUGAGUGAAGAAGUAUUUCGGUAUGUAAAGCUCUAUCAGCAGGGAAGAAAAUGACGGUACCUGAGUAAGAAGCCCCGGCUAACUACGUGCUAGCAGCCGCGGUAAUCUGAGCGGGCUGGCAAGGC
rnacentral:rRNA from 1 species